rnacentral:rRNA from 1 species
UUUUCGCAAUGCCCGAAAGGGUGACGAAGCGACGCCGCGUGGGUGAGGAAGGCCUUCGGGUUGUAAAGCCCUGUCAGGAGUUAAGAAAUGUAAGUGCGCUAAUAUCGCAUUUAUUUGACGAAGGCUCCAAAGGAAGUCACGGCUAACUCUGUGCCAGCAGCCGCGGUAAUACAGAGGUGGCAAGCGUUGUUCGGAAUUAUUGGGCGUAAAGAGCACGUAGGUGGGUUUGUAAGUCAGAUGUGAAAGCCUUCUGUUCAACGGAAGAAUUGCAUCUGAAACUGCGAGUCUUGAGUGUAGGAGGGGAGAAUGGAACUUCUGGUGGAGCGGUGAAAUGCGUAGAUAUCAGAAGGAACGCCGGCGGCGAAAGCGAUUCUCUGGCCUAUUACUGACACUCAGUGUGCGAAAGCUAGGGGAGCAAACGGGAUUAGAUACCCCGGUAGUCCUAGCCGUAAACGAUGGGCACUAAGUAGAGGGGUUUUAA